CAGCUUUGGUAUUUCAGUGGUAGAAUACUACUCUUCCAUCUCACUUUCCUGAAGUGCUGAUAAGUAGUGGCCGGGGUUCGAUUCCCCGUCAAUGCAUGAAGCC
rnacentral:tRNA from 1 species